rnacentral:rRNA from 1 species
UAGCAUAAUAAAUAGUCUUUUAAUUGAAGUCUAGUAGGAAUGGUCGGACAUGAAGUAAGCUGUUUUAAUUAUGAUGUUUGAAUUUUACUUUUAAGUGAAAAGGCUUAAAUUAGAUGGUGGGACGAUAAGACCCUAUAAAGCUUUACAUUUUAUUUUUUGGUUUAAAAGAUUUAAAGUUUCUUGUGUCUAUAAAGUAUAAUGUUUCGUUGGGGCGACGAGAAUAUAAAUAGUAACUGUUUUUUUUAUUAAAAAUACUUGUAUGUAGGUGAAUUGAUCCUUUAUAAAGAUUAUAAGAUUUAAGUUACUUUAGGGAUAACAGCGUAAUUUAUUUUGAGAGUUCAUAUCGACAAAUAUAGUUGCGACCUCGAUGUUGAAUUAAAAUACCCCCUAGGUGUAGAAGUUUAGGAGGAAGGUCUGUUCGACCUUUAAAA